AAGAACACACAACACAACACAAGACAGCUGAAAAAGAAAAAACCUUUGUGCAACUUGUGUUGUGUUCUGUCUCUCACACAAGUGACGUUUUUCUUUAUUUUCCAUUCAAUUCCAAAGUUCCAAUCUUUUCUCAUUUUUUUCUAUUCUUAAAUCCUAUCCUCACCACCCCACAACCACAACACCCCCUUUCUUUCUCUCUCAAUCUUUUCUUAAUCUUUUUUCGGUGGCCGCAAAACCUCACGUUUUUUUGGCUACCUCAAUUUUUUAUUAUUACCCUUUUUCUUUUUUUUUUCUUUUCUGUUUUGAUAAUCGCUUUGUGA